GCGGGGGGCCACCCUUUUUAACCAUGUCAAUGUCGAGCGGUAAGGCCCUUCGGGGUACACGAGCGGCGAACGGGUGAGUAACACGUGGGUAACCUGCCCUGUACUCCGGGAUAAGCCUGGGAAACUAGGUCUAAUACCGGAUACGACUCCCUGGGGCAUCUUGGAGGGUGGAAAGUUCCGGCGGUAUGGGAUGGACCCGCGGCCUAUCAGCUUGUUGGUGGGGUAGUGGCCUACCAAGGCGACGACGGGUAGCCGGCCUGAGAGGGUGACCGGCCACACUGGGACUGAGACACGGCCCAGACUCCUACGGGAGGCAGCAGUGGGGAAUAUUGCACAAUGGGCGAAAGCCUGAUGCAGCGACGCCGCGUGAGGGAUGACGGCCUUCGGGUUGUAAACCUCUUUCAGCAGGGACGAAGCGUGAGUGACGGUACCUGCAGAAGAAGCACCGGCUAACUACGUGCCAGCAGCCGCGGUAAUACGUAGGGUGCGAGCGUUGUCCGGAAUUAUUGGGCGUAAAGAGCUCGUAGGCGGUUUGUUGCGUCGGCCGUGAAAACUUCACGCUUAACGUGGAGCCUGCGGUCGAUACGGGCAGACUUGAGUUCGGCAGGGGAGACUGGAAUUCCUGGUGUAGCGGUGAAAUGCGCAGAUAUCAGGAGGAACACCGGUGGCGAAGGCGGGUCUCUGGGCCGAUACUGACGCUGAGGAGCGAAAGCGUGGGGAGCGAACAGGAUUAGAUACCCUGGUAGUCCACGCCGUAAACGGUGGGUGCUAGGUGUGGGGGACUUCCACGUCCUCCGUGCCGCAGCUAACGCAUUAAGCACCCCGCCUGGGGAGUACGGCCCGCAAGGCUAAAACUCAAAGGGAAUUGACGGGGGCCCGCACAAGCGGCGGAGCAUGUGGGAUUAUUUCGAUGCAACGCGAAAGAACCUUACCUGGGCUUGACAUGCACUGGAAAUCCUCAGAGAUGGGGGGCUUCUUCCGGACCGGUGUACAGGUGGUGCAUGGCCUGUCGUCAGCUCGUGUCGUGAGAUGUUGGGUUAAGUCCCGCAACGAAGCGCAACCUUCGUUCCAUGUUGACCAGCGCGUAAUGGCCGGGGACCUCAUGGUAGACCUGCCGGGGUCAACUCGGGAAGAAGGUGUGGGAUGACGUCAAGUCAUCUAUGCCCCUUUAUGUUCAAGGCCUUACACACAAUGCUCAACAA
rnacentral:rRNA from 1 species